GCCGGUUUAGCUCAGUUGGUAGAGCAACUGAUUUGUAAUCAGUGGGUCGUGGGUUCAAAUCCUGCAACCGGCACCA
rnacentral:tRNA from 1 species